UAAGAAAAAAACAAAUGACAGGAUUUGCUGACUCACAAGGUGGGGCUCAUGGGCAGUUGAAUCUGAGGAUGUGAGGGAUGCUGACAAAAUCUGAUCUUUCUCUCUGCCCAUAGGUCACUCUCCCAGUGACCCUUCAUCUUGUGGCUCUGAAUUUCUUUGUUGGCUUCAAUGGCAGGUAAGUAUUCUCCACUUCUUGGCCUCCAGAAACAUCAAGAUUUUGACCAUUUUAGAAGCCCCAAAAGAAAGAGAGCUCCCCAUUCUCCAAAUUCCUGGCACAAGUCCCUAUGGCUUAUUGGACCAACUUAAGUUGUCUCAUUGGGCCAACUUAAGUCACAUGUCCAUUCCUGAGCCACUCAUGGUGGCCAAAGUGAUGGGCUAUAUGAAUUGGCCAGGUCAAGCACCAUUUUUGUAGCUGAGUGCUGUUCCCCAAAGGAAAACCAAGGUGCUGGUAUCAGGAGAUGAGGACAUGGAUGCUGGGCCGAAUAAAAUAACAGGUAACCACUGCCAGAACAAACCUCACUGGCGUCAUUUAUGGAGAUUUUUGGAAGGAGGUGACUGGGAAAACACUGUGUGUUGGAGGCAAAAGGGUGGAGAUAAACCAGGACAAGAAACAAGACCUCAUCAGAUGUACAAAGGUGGGAGGCAGGACCAAUGGAACCAGAGGAGCUGCAGAGAAAUCAAGCUGCUGUGAUCAAGGAGCAGGACCUCCCAUCAGCCCCACAGGUUCCAACAGCGACAGAAAGCCAACCAGAUUUGCCGCAGACCCAACCCCAGGAAAACUGCAUGCGUGAGAAGCCAAGUCCAACGGACCCUUUGUUUCUAAAAUGGGCUCACGAUAGGACCCCACUAGAUGGACAGACCUGCUCUCCCAGAUGGGAAACACAGCCCGGCCUCCCGGCGCUCAGCGCACUGGGAGGUGACCCGAGUUUGUUGAGCCAACGACCGCCAGCCGACUUCCGUGGCCACACCAGGUCAACGGUCCAGCAAACCAUGCAGUUUUCUUGCUCAACCACCUGUUUUUUUCCUUAUCACCUUUCUGGCCCAGACCCUCGCCGAAGGCAUCAGCAGAGAUCACAUAGCCACAGAGACAGUGGCUGCUUAUCACCAAGCUCAAGGCUCCUCAGCUCCACUGGACACUCCCGAUCUACCCACUGUUUUCUGGAAAUUUUCUCCCGGUGCUCCUAGGAGUAACGCGCAUCUCCGC
rnacentral:lncRNA from 1 species